CUGCUGUCCAGUACUAUCAGCCCGGAUCCCAAGUGAAGGCAAACAGAGUGGUCACGUUGUACGGACAGGGACUACGGUACACAAUCAACACUGGCUCAUGUACCAGGACGCCCACCACUGACCAGAUACUGCCAAACUGCGUCCCGGGCGAGAAUACAUACGUUGGAUCCAGCUAUAUUGGCACUGAGACAAGUGGGCUGAAAACUGAUACUUGGUUCUUUCGUCUUGGUGCCCUCAACUUUACUGUCAGCUAUGCCAACCCUGGAUGCGUCCCAACAUUCCAGGGGAAAGUCGAUACAGUACCGUCACCUCCAGUAAAUACAGGUGUAUACUUUAACGGAUAUGUGUCGCAAAUUACGGAUCAAGCCGCUUUCGGAAUCCCCACCGACUGUCAGUAGCAUAGCAACUGCAAUCAAUGAAGUUCAACUGAGGUUU